rnacentral:rRNA from 1 species
UACGGGGGGAGCAAGCGUUGUUCGGAUUUACUGGGCGUAAAGGGCGCGUAGGCGGCCACCGCAAGUCGAUUGUGAAAUCUCCGGGCUUAACCCGGAAAGGUCAACCGAUACUACGGGGCUAGAGUGCAGAAGGGGCAACUGGAAUUCUCGGUGUAGCGGUGAAAUGCGUAGAUAUCGAGAGGAACACCUGCGGCGAAGGCGGGUUGCUGGGCUGACACUGACGCUGAGGCGCGAAAGCUAGGGGAGCGAACGGG